CAGUAGCCGCGGUAAUACGGAGGGGGCUAGCGUUGUUCGGAAUUACUGGGCGUAAAGCGCACGUAGGCGGCUUGGUAAGUUAGAGGUGAAAGCCUGAAGCUCAACUCCAGAAUUGCCUUUAAGACUGCCGAGCUAGCAGGUGAGAGAGGUAAGUGGAAUUCCGAGUGUAGAGGUGAAAUUCGUAGAUAUUCGGAAGAACACCAGUGGCGAAGGCGGCUUACUGGCUCAUACUGGACGCUGAGGUGCGAAAGCGUGGGGAGCAAACAGGAUUAGAUACCCCGGUAGUCCCUGUCUCUUAUAC
rnacentral:rRNA from 1 species